GCAAAUUACCCACUCCCGGCACGGGGAGGUAGUGACAAAAAUAACGAUACGGGACUCAUCCGAGGCCCCGUAAUCGGAAUGAGCACACUUUAAAUCCUUUAACGAGUAUCCAUUGGAGGGCAAGUCUGGUGCCAGCAGCCGCGGUAAUUCCAGCUCCAAUAGCGUAUAUUAAAGUUGUUGCGGUUAAAAAGCUCGUAGUCGGACUUGUGUCACACGCUGCCGGUUCACCGCCCGUCGGUGUUUAACUGGCAUGCACGUGCUGAUGUCCUGCCGGUGGCCCGAGCCGGGCCGGGUGUUCUGGGUGCGGGUUUCCCUCACGGGGCCCGCCUCGUCCCCGGUCUCUGGGGAAGGCCUACUCAUACCCCUCGCGGUGCUCUUAACCGAGUGUCUCGAUGGGCCGGCACGUUUACUUUGAACAAAUUAGAGUGCUUAAAGCAGGCAGCAUCCGCCUGAAUACUGAGUGCAUGGAAUAAUGGAAUAGGACCUCGGUUCUAUUUUGUUGGUUUUCGGAAUCCCCGAGGUAAUGAUCAAUAGGGACAGACGGGGGCAUUCGUAUUGCGACGUUAGAGGUGAAAUUCUUGGAUCGUCGCAAGACGGACCGAAGCGAAAGCAUUUGCCAAGAAUGUUUUCUCUGAUCAAGAACGAAAGUUAGAGGUUCGAAGGCGAUCAGAUACCGCCCUAGUUCUAACCAUAAACGAUGCCAGCCAGCAAUCCGCCGAAGUUCCUCCGAUGACUCGGCGGGCGGCUUCCGGGAAACCAAAGCUUUUGGGUUCCGGGGGAAGUAUGGUUGCAAAGCUGAAACUUAAAGGAAUUGACGGAAGGGCACCACCAGGAGUGGAGCCUGCGGCUUAAUUUGACUCAACACGGGAAACCUCACCAGGCCCGGACACCGGGAGGAUUGACAGAUUGAGAGCUCUUUCUUGAUUCGGUGGGUGGUGGUGCAUGGCCGUUCUUAGUUGGU
rnacentral:rRNA from 1 species